rnacentral:rRNA from 1 species
AUGAGCUGCACUAGAAUUUCUGGCUUGGCCCGUGGGUUGGAGGCGCUUCACUGUGUACGAAGUUCCCCAAUGUGUUCGCUAUGUGCUCGAAUCCUCAAUGCCAUUAGUUUCCACGGCGCCCAAAGUGGCCAGUAG